AUUGAACGCUGGCGGCAUGCUUUACACAUGCAAGUCGAACGGCAGCGCGGGCUUCGGCCUGGCGGCGAGUGGCGAACGGGUGAGUAAUGCAUCGGAACGUGCCCAGUAGUGGGGGAUAGCCCGGCGAAAGCCGGAUUAAUACCGCAUACGACCUGAGGGUGCAAGCGGGGGACCGAAAGGCCUCGCGCUCUUGGAGCGGCCGAUGUCGGAUUAGCUAGUUGGUGGGGUAAAGGCUUACCAAGGCGACGAUCCGUAGCUGGUCUGAGAGGACGACCAGCCACACUGGGACUGGGACACGGCCCAGACUCCUACGGGAGGCAGCAGUGGGGAAUUUUGGACAAUGGGGGCAAACCUGAUCCAGCCAUGCCGCGUGCGGGAAGAAGGCCUUCGGGUUGUAAACCGCUUUUGUUCGGGAAGAAAUCCUCUGGGCUAAUACCCCGGGGGGAUGACGGUACCGGAAGAAUAAGCACCGGCUAACUACGUG
rnacentral:rRNA from 1 species